rnacentral:rRNA from 1 species
UCAAGAAACUUCCACAAUGGGCGAAAGCCUGAUGGAGCGAUGUCGCGUGAUGGACGAAGUGCUUCGGCACGUAAACAUCUUUUUAUGUGGGAUGAAAUUAUUGACAGUACCACAUGAAUAAGGGGCUCCUAACUCUGUGCCAGCAGGAGCGGUAAUACAGAGGCCCCAAGCGUUAUCCGGAAUCACUGGGCGUAAAGGGUGUCGAGGCGGUUGUAUUAGUCGUUCGUAAAAUCUACGAGCUUAACUUGUAGGCGGCGAACGAAACGGUACGACUUGAGGUUUGGAGAGGUGCGUGGAACUCACGGUGUAGGGGUGAAAUCCGUUGAUAUCGUGGGGAACACCAAAGGCGAAGGCAGCGCACUGGCCAAAAUCUGACGCUCGCACACGAAAGCUAGGGUAGCGAAGAGGAUUAGAUACCCACGUAGUCCCUGAGCGGGCUGGCAAGGCGCAU